AACAUAUUAAAAGCGUUUACAACCUAAAUCGAUUGGAUCUAAGGUAUAACACUUACAAACUUCCACUUGCACUAGAUCCAAUCACUCAUGUAUCUAAUAUCAUAAACAUCCACAUGACGAUCAUGUUUCUGUUGUGACAACGGUUUUGUCAGUGGAUCUGUAAUAUUGUCAUCUGUGGGAACUCGCUCUAUCGUUACGUCAUUUCUUUGUAUAAUCUCCCUGAUGAAAUGAUAUCGCCUUAGUACAUAUUUGGAUCAUUGAUGAGAUCUCGGUUCCUUCGCUUGCGCGAUGGCUCCAUUCUUAUCACAAUACAAAAGUAUGGGAUCAACAAUGCUAGGAACGACUCCAAGUUCAUUAAUGAACUUCUUGAUCCAGAUAGCUUCCUUCGCUGCUUCAGAAGCAGCAAUAUACUCGGCUUCUAUUGUUGAAUCAGCGGUUGUCUCCUGUUUGGAGCUUUUCCAACUAAUCGCUCAAUUGUUGAGAGUAAACAUAUAUCCUGACUGAGACUUGCUAUCAUCUUUGUCAGUUUGAAAGCUGACAUCAGUAUACCCAUGAAUUUUUAGUUCAUUUCCUCCAUAGAUCAAGAACACAUCUUUAGUCCUCCUCAAGUACUUAAGAAUGUUCUUAAUCACUAUCCAGUGUUUCUCAUCAGGGUUUGCUUGAAACCUACUCGUAACACUUAGAGCAUAUGAAAUAUCUGGUCUCAUACAUAGCAUCACAUACAUGAUAGAUCCUAUCGCCGAAGUAUAAGGAAUCUUAUCCAUGCGACUCCCUUCAUCAUAUGUUUUAGGACACAUAUCUUUUGAGAGGUAAAUCCCAUGCGACAUGGGACAUAAACCUCUUUGAGAUUCUUCCAUAUUAAAUCUUCUCAAGAUCUUAUCUAUGUACGAAGAUUGGGAUAAGCUUAGUAAUCUUUUAGAUCUAUCUCUAUAGAUCUUGAUUCCCAAGAUAUACGCUGCUUCUUCCAUAUCUUUCAUGGAGAAAUUCUUUGACAACCAUAAUUUUACCGAUUGAAGCAUUGGGAUGUCGUUUCCCAUUAGUAAUAUGUCAUCGGCAUAUAAUAUCAGGAAUACGAUAGCGCUCCCACUUGUCUUCUUGUAAACACACGGUUCAUCUUCAUUUUUGAUAAAAUCAAACCUUUUGAUUGUUUCAUCAAAACGAAGAUUCCAACUCCUAGAGGCAUGCUUUAAUCCAUAAAUGGAUCGAUUCAGCUUACUUACUUUGUUGGCUCCUUUGGAUUCAAAAUCUUCAGGUUAUGUCAUAUACACCUCCUCUUGUAAAUUUUCAUUAAGGAAAGUAGUUUUGACAUCCAUUUGCCAUAUCUCAUAAUCAUGGUAUACAGCUAUUGCAAGCAAAAUCCGAAUGAACUUUAGCAUGGCUACAGGCGAAAAGGUUUCAUCAAAGUUAACACCUUGUCUUUGUGUGUAACCCUUCGCUACUAGCCUUACUUUGUAUGUAUGGACGUUUCCAUCCUCAUCGACCUUUUUCUUGUAAACUCAUUUACAACCUAUCGGUUUUAUCCCACUUGGAAGGUCGACCAAGGUCCAAACCUUGUUCUCAUAGAUUGAGUUCAUUUCGGAUUCCAUGGCAUCUUGCCAUCUCUUCGAGUCAACACUUGACUUCGCCUCUGCGUAAUUUGUAGGUUCAUCAUCCUAGACUAAUAAUACUUGAUUAGUAAUCGUGAAUUCGUACCUUCUGGGAGGUCGAAUGAUCCUACUUGAUUUACGUUGAGCUGGAGUGUCCUCAGGGUUCUCCACAUCCUGAUCAAGAGUCUGUCCGUCAACAGGUGUAGGAUCAGACUCAAGUUCAUCUAAUUGGUCAACAGUAUCUGUGGAUUCUUGAACUUCUUCAAGUUCUAGUUUGCUCCCACUGCCCUCUCCUAGAAUAAACUCUUUCUCUAGGAAUAUGACAUGCCUUGAGAUGAACACUUUCUUCUUAAUAGGAUUAUAAAACUGAUAUCCAAUUGUCUCUUUUGGAUAUCCCACAAAUACGCAUUUGUCAUAUUUAGCCUCAAGCUUAUCUGAUUCAUUUCUCUUUACAUAAGCGUCACAGCCCCAAACUUUCAUAUGAGAUAAGUUUGGUCUUUUUCCUCUCCAUAGCUCGUAUGAAAUUUUGUCGACCGAUUUAGAUGGGAUACGAUUAAGUGUGUAGCAAGCAGCAAUUAGUGCAUGACCCCAAAAUGAUUUUGAGAUGUUUGCAUGGCUCAUCAUAGAUCGCACCAUAUCUAACAAAGUGCAAUUCCUCCGUUCAAAUACACCAUUAUGUUGCGGUGUAUAUGGCGAAGUCCACUGCGAGAGAAUCCCAUUCUCUUUAAGAUAAUCUAAAAAUUCUCCCUUUAAAUAUUCUCCACCUCGAUUUGAUCUCAGCGUGAGAAUAUUUUUACCAGUCUGUUUCUCUACUUCAAGUUUGAAUUCCUUGAACUUUUCAAGUACUUCAUGCUUGAAUUUCAUUAGAUACACAUAACCAUAUCUAGAAUGAUCAUCAGUGAAUGUGAUGAAGUAAGAGAAACCACAUCUGGCAGUUAUUAACAUGGGUCCACAUACAUCAGUAUGUAUUAGUCCCAGCAGUUCUGUGGUUCUUUCUCCUUUUCCAGUAAAAGGGAACUUGGUCAUUUUGCCUAACAGGCACGACUCGCAUUUGUCAAAUGAUUCAAAAUCAGUUGACCUCAAGUAUCCAUCUUUAUGUAACUUGGAAAUGUAUUUGUCGUUAAUAUGACCCAAUCUGCAAUGCCAGAGGUAUGUAUUAUUUAGAUUAUCACUUUUAUGCCUUUUAUUUUCUAUAUUCAUAAUAGACGACUCAGUAUCAAGAAUAUAAAUUCCAUUUUGCAACACACCACAACCAUAAAAGAUCUCAUCUUUAUAAAAUGAACAACGAUUUUUCUUAACAUUAAUUGAAAAACCAUUCAUUUCCAAACACGAAAUAGAAUUAAUGUUUUUAGUAAUGACGAGAACAAAAUAGCAAUUUUCUAAUUCUAAUACUAAGCCUGAAGGCAGUGGUAAGAAGUAUGUCCCUACAGCUAAUGCAGCAACUCUUGCUCCAUUUCCCACGUGCAUGUCAACUUCUCUUUUCUGUAGUGGUCCACUUCUUUUUAGUCCCUGCAUAUUUAUACAAAUAUGAGAUCCACAUCCGGUAUCUAAUACCCAAGAAGCUAAUGAAGUAGACAUAUUAACAUCGAUAACAAAAAUACCUGAAGUAGAAGUUUCAGAAGACUUCUUUCCCUUCAAUCUGGCGAGGUAAGCCUUGCAGUUUUUCUUCCAAUGACCUUUCACUCCACAGUGAGAGCACGGGUCAUCAGAUUUGGUAUUGUCCUUGCCUACUUUGACUGCUUUGUUAUUGCCCUUAGCCUUUUUGGAUAUUUUCUUAAAACUUCAUUUGAUUUUCCUCUUAGUGCCCUUGGAGGAAUGAAUAGUUAAGACAUGCUCAGUGCAAGCCUUGACAUUGGGCUCCACAGUUUUAAGCAAAUUAAGCAACUCAGGGAGUGUGCAUUCGAUCUUAUUCAUAUUAAAGUUCAUAAUGAACUGUGAAUAACUAUUUGGCAGAGAUUGCAGAACCAAGUCAAUACUUUGUUCAUGAUCCAUGAUAAAACCUAGUGAACUCAGUUUUUCAAUGAAACCAAUCAUCUUCAGCACAUGAGCACGACUGAUGAUCCCUCUGCCAUUUUGCACCGGUAUAGUUGUUUAGAGGUCUCAUACCUCUCCACACGAGAUUGUUCAUCAUACAGCUCCUUGAGAUAAAAAAUCAAAGUGUAAGCAUCCAUACCCUCAUGUUGCUUCUGCAACUCAGGUGACAUAGCUGCAAGCAUCACAUAUGCUGCAGUGUUAUCGCCAUCAUUGUAUUUGUUGUAAGCAGCCACCUCUUCCUGAGUGGAAUUUUCAAUAGGCACCACUGGAAAGGACUGCUCAAGGACAUAUCCAAUUUUUUCAUGCUUGAGAACGAUUCUCAAAUUGCGGUGCCAAUCGAGAAAAUUUGGUCCGAUCAGUUUGCUGGCAUCCAGUAUGCCUCUCAAAUUCAUAUGAUUACUCAUGAUUCAAAAAACUGCAAAUGACGAAAAAAAAUAGAAUUAAAAUUAUUAUAAUGCAUAUACAUAAAUUCAAUAUGAACUUUAAUUAAACGUGCUCCCACUGUUUAAAAUAAAUUCAUGACCCUCAUACAUAAAUUAUUUGAAUCCACAUUUGAUUCCCAGUGGGCUGGGAUCCCAUUCGUUGUAUCAAAAUCUUGAGUGUACUCAACAAAUCAUAAUAAAACAUUUGGGUAGAUAUUAUUAUCAAUUGUAUCUCCAUACAACUCCUAGAUUAUUAAGCUGACAACUCUUUUAUCUUCACACAUCUUAUGUGUUAACUUAACAUGCCUCUAAAACUUAUCUCCUUGAGUGUACUCAACAAAAGAUAAAUUUUAGUUAAGUCAAACCCAUCAUUCCGAAAUAUCAAAUAUUUCAUAGUGUCAAACAUAUCCCUAAUAGACUAGCCUUGAGUGUACUCAGCAAGCUAAAGUCGAUUUAGGAUUCUCGUUUUUCACUAUAAUGAUGGAAGGCAAAUAAUACUAACUUAAUAUUUUUAACGAGGGAUUUAACGAUCUCAUCGAGUAAUAUAUAUAUAUAUAUAUAUAUAUAUAGACUUGUUCUAUCUAAUUUUCUCGAGCCAAAGGGAAAACUAGUUAGUCAAUUCCUAAGGGGUACAACAUUGGAUCAAUACCAAUACACCAUCUCCAUGGUGUCCACCUUUUCUUGCGCCUCCAAUUAGUCAAACUGCAACAUGUAUCCUAUACUAGUUGGCAUGCAGGCCUAAAAUAAAUCGGACUCGUAGGCCCAUAAUAAUAACAAUAAUAAUGAACUCGCAGGUCUAAUAUUUUAAAGAGCUCGCAGGCCCAUAAAACAAUAAUAACAACGGACUCGCAGGUCCAAAAUAAUGAAGGGCUCGCAGGCCCAUAAAACAAAAAGAAGUAAAUCAACCAUUCAACACAUCCAUAUGGUCGAGUCCAUAAUCAUUCAUUAACAUUCAUCACAUAAAUGUUUCCUAUGUAUAAUAUCUAAUAUUAUAUGCAAUGUCUCAUAAGUCUAACAAUUAUAGUCAUCAAAACUAAUUCAAAAAUUUUGAGAUCGAGAUAAUUAAAUAAUUAAUUAAUCAUAUUAAUUAAUUAACUUAAUUGGCGGGGCAAUUUAAUUAAAAUCAAAUUUUAGCUAAAUCCCGAAUUAGAGUCCAACUCUAAUUCCAUAACUAUUGGGCGAAGUGAUUUAAUCAAAAUGGAAUUUUAAUUAUUUAUUAAAUUAGAGUCAUACUCUAAAUUUUAAUUUGCAUUGGGAAGUGGUACUAAUUAAAAUCAAAUUUUAAUUAAUAUAAUAUUAGAGUCCAACUUUAAUAAAAUUGAAUUAAUAUUUUAAUUUAGGACAAUUCCCAAACAAAAUAAAACUCAAUUAAGGGUCAAAAUUAAAUAUUUAAGUUAAAAUCUAAUUUUAACAAAAAUAUAAAAGCUGUUAAAUUUUAAAUAAAUUUUAAUUUUGGGUCAAAAUUAGGGUAUGGGUCAAACCUAAUUAAAAAUUCAUUUUAAAACAAAUCAAAAUUCAAAAUCAAAACCAUUUUGACAAUUUACAAAAUUGACCCAAGUUGGAAAUUAACAGCAGACCCUUCCAAAUUAAAAAUUUGCAGAACAAGUCCGUCCUUUUUAAAAUUGCAAAUUGACCCCAUUUUCGUAAUUGCAAUCAGGGGCCCCUAAUUGCAUUAUUUGCAACAGAGGCCCCCGUCUCUACCACCAAACCCUUAAAAAAAAAAAUUAUUUCUUUUUCUUCUCCAGUGGCGACGCCAUCUGAAUUCAACCAGCAGCGCAUCGCACUGCAGCAACGGCAGCGGCACCACUGCGCUACUGGAGCGCCGGCAGGCGCAGCAACGCCUGCUGCGCGGCGCUCCGCCCACCUUGACCCCAAUUUUUUUUUCAAGAACAGAUUCUGGAAAAAAAAAAUUAAAACCUAUAUUUGCUAGACUUAGGGAUCAACAUGAUUAAAUCAACAUUUAAUUUAAUCAACAUGUAAAACAGUUCCUAACAAAUACAAACCUGGUUCUGAUACCACUGUUGGGAACUUACUUAAACAUGCACAGCGGAAUUAAACAAAUUUCAAUUCCCAUUCAAAAUUCAGCUUUGUAUUUAGAUAAGAACUGUGAUAAGAAAUAUAUCUUUCUUGAUUUUGCAAACUUCUUCGCGUUAUUCCUUUCCAGCAGCUUGAAUCUGCCUCCCACAACUGUCCAUUAUCCAACCUCCAAUAAAAUCCACACAAAGAAUAGACUGCAACUGCUAGGGUUUUUCCUCUUGUGCCAGCUAGAAUAAUGAAAAUCUUAUGGAUCUCAAACCCUAGUCAUGUAUUUAUAUAAACCCAAACGGGCUCUGUCCGGUCCGGUCCAAUGUUUAAUUAAUCCAUUUAAUUAAACCUAGUCCGUGAAUUAAUUAAUCCAAUUAAUUAAUUCGGGAAUAUAAAUAACAAAUCCAAUUAAUUAAUUUAUCCAACGAUUGUUAAAUUAAUCAAUUGACAAUUUGCAAUCUUUCAAUUCUCUUUUGCGUGCGACCCAUUAUGUUCCCGACCACGAUACCUAACGACGUGAAAUAUUAUUUUGAUCUAAUCAAAACUGAUAAAUUAAACACCCUUUUAAUUUAUCACAGAUUCACACUCGUCUUUCCAAAUUGACAUCUAUCAAUGUAUCAGGGCAACACAUGUGACGGGAAAUGUCACGUGGUAUGACAAAAUCAAAACUGUUCGUUUACCAUGAAAUUAUAAUUCCUUCGUCAAUAUGAUCCGAUCAACUACGAGAUAUGGAAGUGUGUUAAUCUCGAUUAUCGAUAAUAUUUUUCAUUCUUCUAUUAAGUCAAUAUGAGUCGAAAACUCCUUUUCGACUUAUACGUACACCUUGGCCAAAGAUUUCGUUAUUGACUUAAUAGAACGAAAUGCAGAUCACAAUCUUUUACUAUCUAAGAGUGACGAAUCCUCUAUUGGUUAUUCACAACUUUCAUAUGGUUCUUCACAUACUCGAACAAUGUCGUACUAGCAGCCCUUGGCAGAGCAACAUCCAACACUGUCAAAAUAUGACUGUCCUCAUACAAGGCACUAUGAUGACCUCAAGUUGUAGGACCAAUUUCAUUACCGAACGUUAGAGAUUAACCACUGACACUCAGAUAGUUAUCCAUGUGGAAUCUCUUAGCGGGUCUCCAAUGUUUUGUUCUAUAACAAAACAUCCAUGUGUUCAUUUAAGUGUCACCACACUUUAGCUCCUGAGAUCAGCUACUUACUUCACAAGUAAGAAAUGCCACACAUGAUGGUCUAACUGUAUUAACGAUAUCCGUAUCUCGUUACUACUUACGACCACGGUUUAUUCAAGAUCCAAUUAUAUGUAAUUUGUAUCUCACAAUCACAACUCCUUGUGAUUAAUAAAUCACUUAAACUUGGAUUUUCGGAUUCUAUUAUUUAAUAUUAUUUAUCACAAAAUUAAUUUAAAUAAAUAAUAGAUCUCGCCAAAAUUAAAUGCAUUAAACAUAUUAAAAGCGUUUACAACUUAAAUCGAUUGGAUUUAGGGCAUAACACUUACAAAAACCUGGGGAAAUGGAAAAGAAAGAAAAGGAGGUGGACAAUGUUAGUCCAGAACAAAGCAAAGAAUCCAUCAAGCUUCCUGACAAUGGAGACAACAGCAAAGUGAUCGGUACACAUACUAAUGGCAAUGCUUCUUCGAGGAUGAAGGAUAUUCCUGUGAAGCAAGUUGAACAGCAGAGUGAAAAGGAGAGUCCAGGUAAUCACAAGGCGAAAGAAAUCCAUGCUUUUAUAAAAGAUUCUACUGACAAAUGAGACAAGAUAUGCUCUGACGAAAAUGCUAAAAAGAAGUCCCAUUCUCUUCUGCAAACAUCCAAGUUUCCUCUUGUUUGUUUGAGAGUUGACCCAUUGCUAAGGAGAAAAAACACUAAUGGACGCUCAAGGUCUCCUAGUC
rnacentral:lncRNA from 1 species